GACAGAGGGUGCAAACGUUGUUCGGAAUCACUGGGCGUAAAGCGCAUGCAGGCGGAUUGUUAAGUCGGGGGUGAAAUCCCGAGGCUCAACCUCGGAACUGCCUUCGAUACUGGCAAUCUUGAGUCCGGGAGAGGUGAGUGGAACUGCGAGUGUAGAGGUGAAAUUCGUAGAUAUUCGCAAGAACACCAGUGGCGAAAGGCGGCUCACUGGCCCGGUACUGACGCUGAGUGCGAAAGCGUGGGGAGCAACAGG
rnacentral:rRNA from 1 species